CUUGGGGAGUGAGAAAUUGCUUGAUGAUCAGCUGCACCCUCCCCACAAUCCCAACAUCCAUCCAGAGUGACUUCUGCAGCCAUUCGAGCAUCUAGAAGCAAAUAAAACGUCUCAAGAUGGGAAGGAAAACAUUUGUCUAGGGAAACAUUGAAAACUUGAUCGUGUGUGCCUUGGGGCCAGCAUCCAGGGGCCUGCUGAUGUCCCUGGGCAGAAAUAGCCCGUUUCAUCAUCGGCUCUGGACAGCCCAGCCUGCAUUCCUCGAGUAAGGAGCAGCUCUCCGCUGAGCUUUUGGAGCAAUGAUCUGCCCAGCUGCAGGCUGGGGACAGGCCAGGCUGAGGCUCAGGGGACACUGCGGAUGGCCAUGAAUAAUCGGGAAAAAGCAGGAGGGCCAGUGGCUGAAUCCUACAGCAAAGCCAACCUGCUCUGGAUCUGUAUCCACGAGAUGCCUUCAAAGGCUAGGACUGAGGGCUGAGAAGCAUGGGCCUUGCAGCUAAUUUCCAGUUCUCUGCAUCAGAAGCUCCCAUCCCUCCAAGUGACACCAGGCGACUCACAGGAUUCCCUUACUCUCUUAGCCUGGGUGACUGCAACUUCUCAUCAGACCCCACGUACUAACAGCCCACUCGGCUGCAGAACACAUCAGUGGAUGGAUUCACCAGUGAAUACAUCAUAUUGGAUGAUCCAAGCACCUCCCAAACCCAGCCUCUGAGAGCAUGAGAGACUUGAGGAUCCUUCUCUACCUGAGCCAUAAAACCAUCUGUGCUAAUGAGUGCUUAUGUGGUGAGUCUAUACUGAGACAAACUGAAAUGCAUAUGGAUUCAAAGACAGCAUUAAAAAUACUCCACAAAACAGCUCAUCAUGUUUUGCAUGGACUACAUGUUAAAAUGAUCAUGUAGAUGGACCAGGGAUUUAGCUCAGUGGUGCUGCUGCCUGCCUCUGAAGCACAAGGUUCCAAGUUUGAUCCCAUUACCCUCCACUGAAAAAAAAAAGAUUAUGCAGGUGACUCCUGACCUAAAAGGGUCUCUACCAGCUCUCCCCCUUAUGAUGGCUCAAAAGUGAUGUAGGUGAGUUAGGCACAUUCUGUGCAGUUCUGACUUAGAUAGUUCAGCUUCCCCAUGGGUCUGUUGGGCCAUCGCCCACUGUAAGUUGAGGAGCAUUGGUACUUUGGGUUAUUUUGAGUUUCAUAAGAUCUACUGUUAAAACUUGUUUUCACAUUUCCUUUUUGUGUUUGAAUGUGCCCAUCAGGAGAUUUAAAAUGACUCUGUCACAUAGGACAAAGCCAGACCUUCUCUGGUCACCAACUCCCCUUGCCCAGUAUCUCCACUCCGUGGGACCACCUUGGAAGCAAGGUGGAGAACUCCUGGCACGGGACCAGGUUCCUCCAUCAGGAAUCCCUUGGAGCCCAGAUGGUAAGCAGGAGCACAGGCAGCCAUUUCCUGAGUCAUCUACUGGUACUGUUGUCCUUGUUUGCUGUGAUGUAUGUGGCUCUUAAUUUACUCUUUCUGCUAAUGAAGAAAGGAGGGUGGGGACACUUCUUCUAGCACCCAUGCUGAGCUGCGUGUUCAGCACUCUGCCCUCUUUCUGUUCUUCGUGGCACAGGUCACGCAGAAGCCAGCCAGCUUUGUGCAUGGGCUAUGCUGGGUCUCGUAACACAGCUCUGAGAGUUUCUAUGCAGCAGCCAGUACUCUGCAUACCUGGUAAAGGUGCUGGGUAUGAUCCCCUCCCAUUCCAAGGGCUCCCCAGCACUGACCCCCUGCUUCAUUGUGACCUUGAAGUGCAGGACUUGUCCAGGGUUCUCUGAAGGGGGAAAUGCACUGAUUGCAGUGACCACCUCCUCUCUGGAGAUCUUGGGUUCAAAGCCCACCCAUCCUGUUCAUGCCUGCUGCAGAUUUCAUACUGACAGUUACAACUCACAAAUACAGAGCUCUUCCUGAGCAUCAGCACAAGCAGGUACCUGGUUUUCCAUCUCUGAGGUUGUGGACAGCUAGGUUCCAGAGCUAUCCACAGGUGACGCUCAGGCUUAACCUCAGGGAGUCAGGCACCAGCUCAGAUGUUCUGGCUUCCAUCCAAUGUCUCCCAAGAGCCUCCUGCACUCAGAGGCAGGGCUUUUGGAAAGUGAUUAGAUUACGGGGCUUAGAGCUGACUUGGAAUUAGGAGAUGGGGUCUGAUCAGAAGAGAUGUGUGGGGGUGUGGUCUGGAAGAUUCAUCCCCUCCUGGCUCUUUCCUUAAUCACUCUCUACUUCCUGUCUGCCUUGUAAUACACUGCUAUCUUUCUCCAUUCUUUUGCCAAGCCAUCCUGUCUUGAAACUAGUAGACUAUGGACUGACAACUCUAUAAACUGUGAAUAAAAUAAAUCUCUUCUCCCUUGAAUUGUGGGUGUAAGGUAUUGUGCCUCAGCAAGGAGAAAGUGACUGAAGCGCCAGGUAAGCGCUCCUCCUCCUGCUUGUCAUAGGUCUGGCUUCCCAGAAGUCAUUAGAGCCAGGUGAAUCAGCCAUCUGUUUCCACUUCCUGCCAGGUGGGGUUGGAAGAGCCCUCCUGUUGGCACAGCAGGGAGCAGUCUCAGUGGAGUUGCUGAUGUU